rnacentral:lncRNA from 10 species
CUGUUUGUUGUCAAUGGGACCAGGCUCAUCUCAGCCAAUGGGCGAGCGAAGCGGUGCGUGGGGUGAUGGCGCGUCAUCGAUCAGCAGCUCAGAUUUGCAUAGUGAGGUCCCUCCCCCCGCGGCCUCGGAGCGAAUGCCUGGAGUAGCCGUCCGGUCAUCAUCUUAACCUUCUCCGCCUUGUUUAAAGGAGCCGCUGCCUUCUCCGUUGGAUCUGCGCCACACGCAAGUCCGUCCACUGGCCUGGGAGUGAAGGGUUAACAGGCCACCCUCCACCUGCGACCGCUGGCCGCCUCCAGGCCUGGCUGGGAGCACAUUACGUCAUCUUCCCAGCUGCCUACCCCCGCCCUGCCCGCCUGAGAAAGCCAGCGGAGUCAAACCUGGACCCCAGCGCUCGGGACGGGAGUCCGGGUCAUCCAAGUCCCGCUUCUCCCAGCCUCCUUACAAAGGCGGGCACGGAGGCUUGACAAGGUUGCAGAUUGUCCCAGGGCGGUCAGGAUUUUACGUCUUCUGCUUUGCACCCGCCGUGACCUCGCGCUUACUCCAGUGGUCCUCAAUCUCUGGCACCUCGGAACCACUGAGGACCUGAAAACCACGCCAGUGCCCAGGCCCACCGACGGCCUCCUGAGAGGGGGGCCCCGGGCACGAGUUUUUUGAAAAAGUUCCACCGGGAUUCUGAAGUGCAGCCCACCCACUCCUUCAAGCACCUCACUGCCCCAUCUUGCAGCUGGUCGUGUUGUAAACUUCUAGGAAUUUAUCCAAAGGAAUAAAAAUUACAAGUGCUUAAAGAAGUGCUGUAACUAGGAAGAAGUGAGAAUAAGGAAAUGAAUAUGUAAAUUACAUCCACACGAUGGAAUACCAUGGGAUCAUUAAAAAUUACGCACACAAAUGUAUAUUUAUUAGCAAGAAAAGGCGUUCACAAUAUAUUGAUAAAAGGGAAAAGUUGAAGUUUCCUGCCAGUUUGUGAGAGGCAGCUGUUGCUUAGUGAUCAAUAAUUAAGAACACACAGGCUGUGUGGAGGCAGACACAUGGAUCCACUAAUUCACUGUGACCUUGGGUUAAUUGUUCUAAGCCUCAGUUUAGUCAUCUCUAAAAUGGGGAUAAAAUAGCAUCCCUCAUAGCUGUGGUUAAGUGAGAUUAUUUGCACAUUCAAUUGACAAUAUUUAUUGAACAUCUCUGUGGCAGGGAAACAAAUGGUUCCUGCCCUCUGAGAGCUUCCAGUCUAGCAAAAAAAAAAAUCAGAAAUCCCACACCCGUAUUAAACAUAAAAAUAAAUUACAGAUGAUGGUACAAGUGAUCAAGGAAAGGUAAUGGAUGUGAUGAAACUAACAAGGGCCCUGACUUGUGCUGUCAAGAAGCCUCUGAAGAAGUGACAUUUAAGAUGAAACCUAAAAUUAUGAGAGAACUGCAGCUGUUACAGCCAAAGGGGAAAUGAUGACAUGGACAAAGGCCUCGAGGCAGGAGGAGCUGCUGGCAGCCAGCUCUCGGCAUAAGCUUUGGCAUACAGUAAGUGCCUUGCAUACUGCUGUAUUGCAAUUGAAAAAAUAAGGAUCUGGCCAGGCGCGGUGGCUCACACCGGUAAUUCCAGCACUUUAGGAGGCCGAGGUGUGCAGAUCAUUUGAGGUCAGGAGUUGGAGACCAGCCUGACCAACAUGGUGAAACCCCGUCUCUACUAAAAAUACAAAAAUUAGCCGGGUGUGGUGGCGCAUGCCUGUAAUCCCAGCUAACCGGUAGGAGAACUGCCGGAACCUGGGAGAUAGAGGCUGCAGUGAGCUGAGAUCAUGUCGCUGCACUCCAGCCUGGGAGACAGAGCAAGACUCUGUCUCAAAAAAAAGAAAGAAAAAAUACAAAGAGAGUCCGGGCAAGGUGGCUCACGCCUGUAAUCCCAGCACUUUGGGAGGCUGAGGUGGGCGGAUUGCCUGAGGUCGGGAGUUCGAGACCAGCUUGGCCAGCUUGGUGAAACCCCGUCUCUACUAAAAAUACAAAAAUUAGCCAGGCGUGAUGGUGCAUGCCUGUAAUCCCAGCUACUCAGGAAGCUGAGGCAGGAGACUUGCUUGAACCCGGGAGGCAGAAGUUACGGUGAGCAGAGAUCGCGCCAUUGCACUCCAGCCUGGGCAACAGGAGACUGCGUCUCAAAAAAAAAAAAAAAAAAAAAAGAAAAGAAAAGAAAAAAUAAGGAUCUGUGUGCUCACCUGAAGGUUAAAAACGAUGGAAGACCCAACAGCUGGCUGUCAGACAUAGUUACAGGAGUAGUGAGAUUUGGGGUGAAUUUUACUUUUGGAGUGAAUUUUACUUUCUUUUUGGCAUUUCAGUAUUGCUUAAAUUACGUUUUAUAAUGAACGUGUAUAACUAAUGAGAAAUAGAUAGUGUCUUAUUUUUUGGGAAAGCAAGACAACAUUGUUCUCGUCAUUGUUCACACACAGGGAGGCUGGUAUAGAAUACACCAGUCUCACCCUGAAAGACACAGAAAACUAAACCCUGCUCUGGACACAGCACUGAGCAGGAAGGUGCCACCUUCAACUGUGCUGCCCAGUGGCUCUUGCAAGGCCCCUCACACUGGUGUGUGACUGGUACUCUGGGGGGAUUCAGCAACAACUCCCAUACAACUCACUCUGGCCCAGGGCACCCCCCACAACCCAGAACCUCAGUGACCCCCUCCAGAGGUGGCACACAGCACCUGCUCCCAUAGUUCCCCACUGAGCCUGCCCAGAGGGCGUGAUGCCUCGCCAAGUGGACUGAAGGGGUACAACUGAAGGCUCAGUAGAAAUGGUGGAAGAAGGGUGGCUGGACCCGAACCUCAGGAAGCACUGAUAUUUUCCCUCUGGCCCUGGAUCCCAUGUAACUGAACAUCUCUUCCAGGUGGUACCUUGCUCUGGCUAGCAGGAGGACAAGGGCUGGCUCUGAGAGGUAGAACAGCUUUUGACAAGUCACUCCUCAGAACCUGAGCUCUUCAUCUGAAAAGAGAUGGACAGCCGGGCACGGUUGCUUACGCCUGUAAUCCCAGCACUUUAGGAGGCCGAGGCAGGCAGAUCACGAAGUCAAGAGAUCGAGACCAUCCUGGCCAAUAUGGUGAAACCCAUCUCUACUGAAAAUACAAAAAUUAGCUGGUCAUGGUGGCAAGCACCUGUAGUCCUAGCUACUCAGGAGGCUGAGGCAGAAGAAUCACUUGAACCCGGGAGGCGGGGGUUGCAGUGAGCCGAGAUCGCACCACUGCACUCCAGGCAGGCAACAAAGUGAGACUUGUCUCAAAAAAAAAGAAAAAAAAGAAAGAAAGAAAGAAAAGGGAUGGAUUAGACUGGGUAACCACUAUGUUUCGAUAUCUACCAUGGAUUGGGCAUGUGCUACGGGUCACAGAAGAUAAUUUUGUAUAUGGUUUUUCAUUUACUUCCUCUGACACUUUCCCCUUUUUCCCACAGCACCUGUCCUUUUCUUCCUCUUCCCCUAAUCUUUCAGGAUUCAGUUCAGAUAUUACUUCCUCUAGGAAGCCUUCCAAUUGGAUUAACCAAAAGCAUGUACUCCACUGUUUGACACAGAGAUGGGGUUAGAGAGGGAAAUAACCAGUUUGGUUUUGGAAACAUAAGCGAUGAGAAUUAUCAGGUAGUAACCGGGCGAGUAUUCAGCUUUUAGGUCUUAGAGAGUAUGGCUGCCCAAAAAGAAAAUAGAAACAGCUCCAUAAAAAACUUCAUGCAAACGGGGGCAGGUGAGGAAAGAAGAAUCCGGAAGAGAGAGUCAGCUCAGACUUGACAGCAGAGAACUACAACAACAAGCCUGAGAGAAUCACCUCAAGGAGCUGUCAACAGCAUCUCUCUGAGGACAGUGAUGGGGAAGGGGAGGAAGAUGUGGGACUGGAAUAAGGAGAAGGGCUGUGGACCAGAGAGGUUUUCCCUCCCAGUGGACAUCUGGCAAUGUCUGGACACAUUUUUGGUUGUCGUAACUGGGGGACUGCUACAGGCACCUGGCAGGGAGAGGCCGGGAUGCUGCUAAAAUAGCCUACAACACACAGGACAGCCCUCUUCACACUCACACACCCAACGAUUACCUAGCCCCAAACGUUAAUAGUGCCGCUGCUGGAAAACGCUGUCUUAAAGGAUAUCAGGGAGCUCACAGACUAGCAGCUGAGUAGACAGGAGCAAUGUCCAAGAUCACACUGAAAACACCACUGUUGCCACCACUGGGCACCCUGGCACUGGUCACUGGACUUGGCAUUAGAGCCACCCCUUCACUGCUGCCCCUGGUACCUGUGACCACUACCGCCACCAGCACGACUCCCACAGUGGUAUAUGCAGUUGGUAGCGCUAUAGUGACCUAACAAUCCCAGCUGCAAGAGGCAGCUGGACAAACAUGUGCCCUAGGGCCUUUACAGCUCAGGGGGUGGGCUCUGUCUGCAGUAAGACUCAGCAAGUGGACUUCCUGGAGCAAGUGACUAUAACAAUCAAUAGUGGCAGUAAAGGGAGGGAGAGAGGGAGCGAGUGGAGUAGUUCUAUUUGUUUCUUUGAAGGUGCCCAUUUGAGGGCAGAAAGGACAGGAUUAACCAGGUUGGAGAGAGGAUGACGGUAUUAGAGGAAAGAGCCCAGGAGGAAGGAGGUGCCAGAAGGGGCAGAUGAGGAGAUAGUUCAAGACCAGGCCCCACUCUUUGGCUCUGCAUAUAUAGCAGGCAGUCAGUAAAUACAUGGGAUGAACAAGGAACCGUCAGAGAAGGGCACACAUCACUGAGAAGUCACUUAAAUUCCAGGUUUCAUCCUUUCAACCACUGGGCAUUCUGAGAUGGGGGGCCCAAGGAUCUGAGUGUGAAGAGCCUGGUUCUGAUAACAACAGCUGGCAAGAGACAGCCCAGGCUGGUCCCAAGUUGCCCAGGUCUUGCCACCACACUGGGCUGGCUUCCCCAUUGCUCUGCAGUUGCCCAGCUCUGCUUCAAAUUAUACAAAUCCUGCUAAUGACAGAGCCCGUAGAAGUUAUUCAGUAGAAAGAACCUCCAGCCGAAGCUGGACCCACCACUGACUGUCCUGAGGUAUGCUUUAGCCUCCCUGCCACCCCAAGAAAGCUAGGUCUGCUGCCAACCAGGCCUGGUUCUUAGAAAGUUUUUUCUCCAGUUAAGGGGAAAGCCAAGCACCUUCUCUGCUAAGUCAGCAACCACAACCACUCUCUAGCAUGAAAAGGACAGCGACUGGCCUGGUCCUUCCGGCAGGGAAGAGCUUGCGGGCUGGUCCUGACACCCAGCUCCAGCUGCUGGCACCAGGACAGGUUAAACAGCUGAGCCAGUGAAUCUGACCCUUUCCCGUUGAUGCAGGAAAAUAGGGUCUGGAGGCAGGGAACAUAAGGCCAAUUCACGCUUCAGCUAUAACAGGGAAUAUCCUCCCCAUAGGGUAUAUGCUGUAAAUGAAUUUGUAAAUUUACUUCAUCCUUUCCAUUUACAUAGGGUGUACCUCAAGUAACCAAUGGAAUCCUCUAGUGGGUAUUUACUCCCAAAAAUUCUGUAACGGGCCCCUUGAGUCCCUAUGCUCAGGCCCUCUCCCAUGCUGUGGAGUAUACUUUCAUUCUCAGUAAAACCCUUCAUUCCUUCCUUGCUUUGUGCAUUUUGCCCAAUUCUUUGUUCAAGACAUCAAGAACCUGGACACCCUCCACUGUUAAUGCCAUGGACCAGCCCUUUAGUUCACAGACUCGGGUGUCCAUGUGGCUGGGGUCACACAACCUGAGAAGGGCAGGGUGGAGAUGAAACUAUGUCUGUUGAGUCAGUCCCACCACACUGCCCUGCCUCCACUGCCCAGUGAGGGGCCUUCUGAUGGGGAAAUUUCUCCAGCACUCCUCCCAGCCCCCACACCCAGCUCUCUUCCAGCUGCUUCUUGUCCCCUUACUUCCGAGUAACUGAUGGGUGCAGGAUGUUCUGGGCCCUUCCAUGAGGCUUCUCUAAGGCUUGGCUUCCCUUUGCUGCUGCAGCCCCGUAGGGAGGCCAGCCUCAGAGAAACAGGUUAGGGCUGGGCAGGGGAUACAGAUACCAUCAAAUUCAUUUUGCCAAUGAAGCUGCAGCACAGGGAGGGGUGGGCCAAGGCCAGUCAGCAAAUCUGAAGGGCUAACACUCAGAUCUCACUUGUGCUCUGUCAGUGGUAGGGGGCUGGGUGUCGAGGGGAUCUGGGAUGGUUUUCUCUGCUCCUUUAAGAGGCAGAUCCUGACUUGGCAAGGUCAAAGAGGCAGAGCUAGAAUUCUCACUAAAGCCCUUCCCUCCUCUGCUUGGGAGGGGCAUGAGUGAAGGGCAGCUGCCCUACCCAGGGCCACAUGCCCUCUGCAGCUUCCCUGCCCUGUGGCCUCCCGAGACGGGAAGCUGUCUGACCCAUGCAGCUUAGGGCAGCCAUUGCGGAGCACGGCCUCCUGCAGGGCUGCGGCCUGUCCCCCUGCAGCCCCCCACCCACAGGUUGACUGUCUUCCAGCGCUGCCAGAGAGAACAAGCUGACUUCCCUGUGCUUGCUCAAUGACUGUCCCCAGACAUCUGAGGACAGGGAUCAUGUUGCUCCAAGGUCUUCUUGAGCUAAAUGUUUCCCAGGUCCCAGGGCACUUCCAGGUCCUUUCCCAACACCAAUCAUUUGUCAAGGGCAGUGAUGGCGUAGGACCAGGAGGCCCAAGCCAAGCCCCUUCCUUCUCUGCCCUGCCAGGGCCUGGGGCCCCUCCUGGUGGGGCAGAGGCAUCCUCCAAGCUGUUUCUACAUCCCUGAGGGGCCCUGGUCCCCUCACAGUGUCCCCACCAGCCUUGGUCGGUCCAAAGGGUCUGCUGGCUUUUAUUGUGUCUCUGCAGAGGGGCUGGGACCUGUGCCAGGCAGCUCUGUGACACAGUGGGGCCAGCAGCAGGGUG